rnacentral:rRNA from 1 species
GAUGAACGCUGGCGGCGUGCCUAAUACAUGCAAGUCGAACGAGGUGCUUUUGUAGCAAUACGAGAGUAUCCUAGUGGCGAACGGGUGAGUAACGCGUGGAUGACCUGCCCCAAAGUGUGGGAUAACAGUCCGAAAGGAUUGCUAAUACCUCAUGUGGUUAUCGGUUUUAGAAAGCGAUAACUAAAGCAGCAAUGCGCUUUGGGAGGGAUCUGCGUCCCAUCAGCUAGUUGGUGAGGUAACGGCUCACCAAGGCGACGACGGGUAGGGGACCUGAGAGGGUGGCCCCCCACAAUGGAACUGAAACACGGUCCAUACACCUACGGGUGGCAGCAGUAGGGAAUAUUGCUCAAUGGGCGAAAGCCUGAAGCAGCAACGCCGCGUGUGCGAUGAAGGCCUUGGGUCGUAAAGCACUUUCUAAGAGAUGAGAAAGGACAGUAUCUUAGGAAUAAGUCUCGGCUAACUACGUG